CCUACGGGAGGCAGCAGUGGGGAAUAUUGGACAAUGGGCGGAAGCCUGAUCCAGCCAUGCCGCGUGUGUGAAGAAGGCCUUUUGGUUGUAAAGCACUUUAAGCGAGGAGGAGGCUACUAGUACUAAUACUACUGGAUAGUGGACGUUACUCGCAGAAUAAGCACCGGCUAACUCUGUGCCAGCAGCCGCGGUAAUACAGAGGGUGCGAGCGUUAAUCGGAUUUACUGGGCGUAAAGCGUGCGUAGGCGGCUUUUUAAGUCGGAUGUGAAAUCCCCGAGCUUAACUUGGGAAUUGCAUUCGAUACUGGGAAGCUAGAGUAUGGGAGAGGAUGGUAGAAUUCCAGGUGUAGCGGUGAAAUGCGUAGAGAUCUGGAGGAAUACCGAUGGCGAAGGCAGCCAUCUGGCCUAAUACUGACGCUGAGGUACGAAAGCAUGGGGAGC
rnacentral:rRNA from 1 species